CACCACAAGCGGAUGGGUACUCGGGGGGCAACCACCCUCCCAUCACCACAUACACAGACAGGCACGCACACACCGACAGACACCGAGAAUGUCUAGUGCGCUCGACAGCAUCACCGCCGCCACGAAGCUGCGACGUGCGGAGAUCGAUGUGCAGCGCGAGCUAGAGGCGAAGCGCGAGGAGUACAACAGACGCAUGGCACAGGUGAAGGAGGGGGAGGCGCAGUUGGCUGCCGACCGGGCAGAGCUGCAAGACACGCUCGUGCAGUACUACAAGUUCAUACAGGAGAACGAAAUCAAGCGUAGUCGUGCCAUGAAGAAGGUCGCCAUCGAAGAGAAGCAGCGCAAGGAGCGGGAGGCGUAUAUUGCCCAGCUUACGCAGCGCCUGCAGGGGCUGGAGCAGAAGCGGGAUGAGAUGAAGACGCAGUACGAGGACAUCGAGAAGUACCAAACGUUCUUGGAGGAGGUGCUCUCCCGCAACGACGGCGACGAGUACCAGGAACCGCGCGACAUCAUGAAGCGUUGGAUGACACUGUGCGACAACACCAGCGUCCUGCAGGCGCGCAAGACACAACUCGAGGAGGAUCUCCUGCGCACACGCAGCUCCCUCAACCUGGCACGCCAGCGCCGCGGCACGGAGAACAUCGCCCUCCAGAACCAACUGAACGAGAUGCAGAUGUCUUUCGAGUCACUCCAGAAGGCCAUCAAGGCAAAGCAGGACAAACUGGACCGCAUGAUCAAGCAGAAGAGCUCGACGACGCGCACAGUGAGCCACGUCAGCAUGGCCACCGCGAACCUAUACGACCGCUGCGUGUCAUGGGUGCGCGACUACUCGGGUCGCGGCAAGGUAGAGACACUGCACAGCAACGUGCUGCACCAGCUACACGUCAUCUGCGACUGCCUAGAGGACUUCCAGAACAUCAUCAUGCAGCAUCAGGAGCAGCAGCGCCAAGUGGCGGCGCAGCAGGUAGCAGCCGCAGCCGCACAACAGGCGGCGGUAGCAAAGGCGGGCUGAGUGGCGCUCGGUGUUGAUGUGCGAGUGUAUGCGCAUGAUGUGCCACCUGCCGCCUUUGGUUGCGCUCUGCCAUCGGCUCUUCUCCCUUUCGACAGACUUGUGCGAGGUGCUCUUCGCCGCCCCGGCAGCGCCUCCGUCCAGCCGCUGCCUCUUCUUCACUGUGUGCGCUGCUACCCUUUUCCGUUGUGAGCUUGUGCAAGCACGCACACAACUGCAUGUAACGUGCUUGAGCACCGAGGGACCGGCUAGAGGCGAGAUGUCAAUGGAGGCGGUGGAGAAGUGGCGCAAGAGGACGAGGCUGACGGAUGCGUGACGGUGCAGGCUCGCUACGAGUUGUGCUUCCGUGUGUACACCGUUACUUCUCCUUCCUCCCCCCGCUCCCCACUGCUUGCCGCUCUCCACCCCUGGAUGUAUAUUAGUCACCUCCCCAGAGAGAGGAGGUGCCGUCACGGCUUUCUCCUACUCGCUUCUCUCUGCUGUUUUUGCCUCCUUCCCCUCUUGGCCCUCUCUGCGGCUCGCUGGUUCGGGCUGCUCGCUGUCGCUGCCGUUGUUGUGGUCGCUCCCGGCCCCUUUCGGGUCUCUGAGACCUCUUCCUUUGUGAACGCGCGUUUUCUGAUGUCUCUGUGUAUGUGUUGAAGGGAGGUUGUGUGGCGUUGAAGAUCAUGAGUCGGCCGCUUCUCUGACCUCCGCCCAUCUGCAUACAGAGCUGCGCAAAUGUCCGCUAGCCACAAGACAUCACCACCCACAGCAGACAUUGCUACACAUGCGCGCACCAUGGUGAAGGGCAGGCGGCAGGAGCGGAUCGACACGAACUGCCCCCGCUCCACCAAGUAAGGAGGAGGGGAGGGGGUACACCCGUUUCUACUUCCGUGCCUCUUCCGCAACACCUCUCUCCAUCCCUCAGACCUAUCCGCCGUGUGCCGCGUGUUUCGUUGACGCUAUCAUCAGCCGCCACUCGUUAGAAG
rnacentral:misc_RNA from 1 species